CUCUCUUUCUCUCCUUGUCUUUUUGUCUCUUUAUGUCUAUUGCAUUAUGCCUGAAUAAUUUUCAGUCUUUUUUUUCCUCCCCUCUUGCACGCACAUGCUAAAAUAACUAGACAAAGAUGCAAGGUGGUUGCUGCAGUCCCUGUCUCUAGGACAAAACCAAGAAAGCUUGUGAUUGCAAUGCCACCUUUCCUUUUUUUUUUUUUUCCUUUUCUUCUUUUUUUUCUUUCCCAGCCAUGCUUGGUGAUUAAACUUCCUCAGGAUGGGGAAGAAAAAGGAGCUGGGAAUGAAAUAGGGUUGAGGAAAUAUCCCAUUGCAGCAGCUGCAGCCAGUGGUGUCUGCUGCCAGAUGUGCGAAGGUUCCUGGGGUCCUUGUCACUAAAAGGCAGUAUUCAAAUAUUUGGAGACAAAAGCUGCAUCCUCAGUGAUCAUUUUCUUUAUUUAACAUGGCAGCAGGCAUCGUGUGGGAAAAAAUCAACACGCUGGAUGUUGAAUCGGACUUUUCUCCUUUCUGGGAUGAAAGGAUGUUAUCUAUCCCGUGCCAAGAGGGAACUGAGGUGCAGGGGGAGGGGAAGAAAGUCUUCAAAACUAGCCCGCCAUGAGCAAUGAACAUAUGGCUGUUGCUAUCAGCACUGGUGUAUUUGCGGCGAUGCCUAUCAACAUCCACCAGAGAGCAGGGCAGCUCCAAAACCCACAUCUUUUAUGCUGUGGAAAUUGAUGGAGACAGCAACCAGCCAGCUUCUUGGCCAAACAACAUGGAAUGCAGUUCAUUUCAAAGGUACUGGUUUCUUAGCCUGUAAGGCUUGUGCAUGAUGUCUAUGAGAGCAAUUUCCAGCAGAGCAAAGCCUUAUCACAGAUCCACCUAAAAGCCUUAUCUUACAGAACAGUGACAAAUGACAGCUUCAUGGAAGGUGAAGUGGGUGAAUAUCAGGCAGCUCAUUAUAGAGACAUGCACGCUGCAUUCCCAAAGUAGGAUGACAGAACAAGUCAUGGGCAGUCCUCACCCCAUUUGUGCCACUUUUUUAAACACAGGAGCAUUUUUCAGGCAUUAAUCAGCAAGAAGAUAGGGGGAACCAAUCUCUGAAGAUUGCUCCAAACGGAACACAUUUUAUAAAGGGAAAUAGGUUCAUUCCAAGAACAGAAUAAAAGGUGGAUAAGAGUCAUGGAUGUUAAAGGAGACAUUACUCAGGCUGUUGUGAAAGAUCUGAUACCAGAUUCGGUCAAAGGGGACGAGUGUCAUCCUGAGAGUGCUCCUCUCUGGGACAGGAAACCGACGGAGCGAAGCCCUGAGAACAUGCUGCGACACUUCAUAUUCAAUCCACAGCCCUAUAGAGAGAUGAAAAAUGAGCCUUGUCCAAAGCUCUUACCUCAGCACCCAGUGGCAAAAAUAAAACGUGAGCUUGGGACCAGGUCUCUUUGAAGCUGAUUUUUUCUAUUUUUUUUUAAACUCUCCAACAGACCUCUGGUGGUUACAGGUAUUGAUUGUCAGAAAGUAAUCUGUUCAGGUUUGGGGGCAUGCCAGCCCGAAUCCUGGAGUACGUUCCUUACUCUCCAAGGACACAUUGAGCUUUUUAUACUGUCCACAGUGGCAUGCUUGUCAGCUGUCUAGCUUCUUUGUCUCUACUGCUCUCCCUGUUUGUGGAAAGCAUAUAAUUAAACCUCCCUUCUACAAAUAUUACACAUUACUACUCUAGAAUUUUCUGCCAGUGCUGAUGGUUUUUUACCCCAUUUUUUAACCCUCAUUUUUCUUCUGUAAUCAUUAUUUGAUUCCCUCUGGCUGUCUGCUACUUAUUUGUAGUAGUACCAUUCAUCCAUUGAGACUUUUCCAUCUGUCACACAGUUUUGCUUUCUCUCCCCAGAAGUUUUCUUCUCCUACUGUGCCAUGCUUGAUUUUUUGGGUUGAGUUGCAUGUUUGUAUGCUCUUUUUUGUAUUUUUAAAAAUGUUUCAGUAUUCAGAACAAAUACAACAAGAAGAGAAAAAAACCCCCAACAUAGCAAAGAGCAGCUCAAAUUCAACAUUACACACAGAGACAGGAUGAGGAGACUGAGAUUCCUGGUGAAUUAAGGAAUCAACAAAUAUAGCCAGGGCAGAAGUACUGGCCAGACCUUGCUCUCUCUGAAUGGUUUCCAUUUCCUUCAAAAUCUUUCCCGUUUUGUGCUAGAUAAAUAGGUUAUGUCAGGAAAUGUUGCAUUCCCUCUGCUGUACUCCCUUUGCUGUAUUGAUUAUAAAGACUAUCUGAGGAAAACCAAACAUACUGAGGUACAACACUGUGAUUACUUAAAGAAAAGAAUGUUUUAAAGUGCCAAACAGUCCCUUACUAAAACAAGAUCGUGGUCAUAGCCUUCAUUUAAAAUUCGAUGAGCAUUUUUUGUUUGCAGAGGUUAGAUAUUAAAGAAAUGCAGCACUUGUUAGUGUUUCCCAGGUGAAAUACAGGAUGGGCUAAAGCCAGCAGCAUAACCCUUCAGAAUUAUUGUUUUUUCUCCGUGUAUUUUCAACCCCUAUUAUGGUCUAAAUGGGGAGUGUGUCAAGAAAAUCUUGGUUUUUGAUGUGAGCAAGAAUAGGAGAUUUUACAGCUGCUCUACAGAUCACUUGCAAUUGAAUCAAAUCUCAAAUCUUUAGCCUUGGAGGACAACUCACAAAAUUACCUGCUUCCAAUAAUACAUUUUCAAUAACUCUUUAUUAAUGCUCUCUUCUUUUCCUCUUACACUUCUCAUUCUAUCUUCUUAUGCUCUUGUUUCAAAAGUUCCUGCAAGUUUAUCACGAUUGUUAGGAUUAGUAAAAAGUAUGUGUUGUGUUUUGAAAAAUCUUUUUUCUCAGUAGAAAUGCUUCCAUUGUUUAUAAAAUUGCUUCUCUGGCUAUAUAGAAAGUGCUGAUAGUCUCCAAGCAAACACAAAAGCUGUGAGCGUGUCCUUAUUUGAAUGGCGAUGCCCAGAAAGUUUCCUUUGCUACCAGCUACUUCACUGCACUGUUCUUAGAAUGAAGUGGGUGGAAAAAAAAAUCAUCAGAAUCUUCAUUAUGCACUUGUAUGGGCAAAUGUCUGAAAAUGUAGGUAUUUUACAAAAAUCCUAUUUAUAAAGUGUCAUCCCGUGAAAGGGUCAUUCGGACCCAGCUUUUACUUUACCUGAACUUUUACGGUGUUUUGCAAAGGAAAAUAAAUGGUUCCUUUUCUGAAAUAAAUUAUGAAAAUAAAAUUUAAGAAAAUGAGUGAAAACACAAAAGGGGAAGGAAUGUGAGAGAGACAAACAGCUCCUACAGUCCCUCCUGACCACUGAAAACUUUUCUGUUUCUUUUCAAGAAUAAAGGAUUAAAAAAAUAACAAGGGUGAAAGUGUUUUUCUGCAUGUGUGUGUGUAACCACAAUUUGAUGGUCCCACUGUAGGAUCAAUGUACACCUACAUCACUGAAGUUUAUCCUGCCUGCUCUGGAAGACCCUCAGUGGGUGAAGUUUCACUGUUGCACAGGGAAGCUAGUCCAGUGCUUUAUUAAAACCACUUUUUCUUUCGGAAACUUAGGUCUAUUACUUCUUUUUAUUUUACCCAGAAUGGAUUAAGCAAAUCUAUAAUUAUCUUCUACACCGUAGCCAUUGCUCAAAUGCCUCCUUCCAUUUUCUUUCAUUUAAGGUUAAACAGGCACAGUUCCUUCAGGCUUUCCUCACAGGCUUGAUGAUUUACAUUUGACUCCUGCUGAUCCACUUCUUUCCAACAUGAGGGCUCAGAGGUACAUGCAAACCUUCAGAUGACACUUCCUGGGCUGCACAGAUGGAUUAUUUCAUCUGCCUUGCAGAUGUUGGUAGGUUUUCUUCUUGUAGCCUCAUCACAUUCUUUGACACCUUUUUGAGGCUAAUCUUAAAUUUCUAUUCCUUUGUUUGUGUAUACUGCAAAAUAAAGUAAAUUUGGAUGGCAGUAUGAUGAAAGAAGUAGGGCAGGGACCUUACAGCUGUGAAACCCAAAACCAACACAGCUGGUGGAUGUGGUAAACCAAACAAAUGGCCUACAUGGUUAACUGAGUUAGUUUUUGGUAGUCCUGUGAGGAGCAGGUGGUUGGAUUCUCCGAUCCCUUGCAAGUCCAGAUAUCCUGUUCUGUUCUGUGGACCUAUGAGGGGAUGCUAACACCAGUGGGAAUCUCUACAUGUGGAGGAACACAUUCUCAUAACCUCUGAGAGUCAGGAGCUUGGUGCGACAGGCUUGCUAUUGGUCCUGUUCUGAAAGUGUUUAAUUCCCAUAUAUGUAAACUUAAUGAAAUGGAGAGGACAAAGGAGUAGAGAGGGAUUGUUGCUUAGCCUAGGAAAUCUGUAGCACAGGAUGCAGGAAUUUCACUAUGCUCUGGGCUUCUAUCGUCUUGGCAGGAAUAGAAAAAAAAAUAAAGUGAAUACUGCACCCCAAAUAGUUGAACAAUUUUUUUUUAAUUUUUUUUUUUUAAUACAACAUUUAAAAAUUCUAAAUCUACAGUAAUACCUAAAAGUGACCCAGGUGGUAAAAGUAGUCUUCAGGGAAGAGUCUGGACACAAGAAGGUCUGUAGAUAUCUUCAAGGGUAUGGUCAAGUAGGCUGUUUUUCAUGUGAGGCAGUUAUUUCUAAGUUACUAUUUUUCAGUAGGAUUGUGUACAAUCCUUUGUGUACAGUACUAAUCUGAAAAUCGUGUUCUGUCUUUGUGGCCAAUACUUUCUGUCUUUUUCUUUUGCAAUAAACUAGAGUGGCUCUACCUAUUAAUUGAAGAUUUUCUUUUAAAGCCACUGCCUGUUUUUCCCUUCCUUCCUGCUUCAUGCCAUCACUUUAAGAUUUCAGAGCCAUAGACCAGAGUGCUUGUGUUAAAUGAAUAUAUUUGACAGGAGUUAAGUCUUUUGGGCAUUGCAAUAGGUUUUCCUCAUCUUGGCAUGUGAAGACUGAGAGUGUUCUUUGACACCAGCAGCAGAGGAUGUGAGCACAGCAACUUUCAGGGCAUCAGAAGUGUCAGCACAAGGAAAAAUCAGCAAAAGUAGACAGUGUUGAGGUAAUUUUCCCACACCAUGCCAUGAAUUUUGCCAACUGGUGCUCCUGUGAGUUCUGGGCUGACAGAGUUUCCUUCUUUGUUGCUAAAUAUCACAUAAAGUGUUCUGUCAGCAUCAAGACUUGUUCACUCCCCUUAUGUAGUAAAAUAAAAAUAUAAUCCUUAUGCCCAUGUUUGAAAUUUGAGCAUAAGUUAAAGAGAAGCAAAAAAAUAAAAAAAGAGUAAACCUUUCCAACAGGCCAAAACUGCAUUUUGGAGGUUCAUUUUUCAGAACAUCAUGUAGUCAAUGCUGUCAAGAAGAGUUGAAGGCGAAAGAUAUGUAGGGCACAAGUACUAAAAAUUGAAAAUCUUACUCCCAUUAAAAUGCAUGGGAUUUCUGCCAGUUGCCAUAGACAUCAGUGGCAGCAACAUCCUGCUAUUUUUUUCUGUUUUUACUUUCUGCUUUCCACAUCUUUUUAUUUAUUUUUGAAUCCCGAGAAAAUGAAGUAAAACACACCAGGGUUUCCAGGGUGUAUAUCAGAGAUUUACUGAUGUUUUUAGGAUUAAAAUUAUUUAAUUAUGUUCCAGAUUUCAUAGUGAUGAUUAGAACCUAUGGUCAGGAAGAAUUAUAGUGACACUUAGGUUAGAGACAUCUGAUCUUAUGAGUACUGAUAAUAUGGUUAUUGGUCUGAAUUUUGCUGCACCCAGCUGGGAAUUAGCUAAGGUACUUAAGGGCAAAAGUGAAAGGCUGGGCUCUCUUUCUGUGUGGCACAAACAUCAGAUGAGAAAGUGAAAGCUCUGAAUCACGAGAGAGCUUCCAAUUUUAGCAUGGCUUUGAAAAGGAAGAUUUCUGCACCUGAAGAGUUUUGCAUAUAUGCAUUACUGACAAUGUAUGACUGCACAUUUUUUUGCACAGUAUCAUUUCUUCUGUUUUUAUUGUUCUAUUUCAAAUUUCUAGCUUCUUUAGUAGUGGUAUUUUUCAUGUAAUCUGGAUCCAAUAUCAUUGCUCUUAUAUAUGCCAUGACCUUAAAAUGACGGGAACCACUGCAAAAAAGGGCUGCAAAAGUUGGUCUUUGAAGCUAUUUCCUCUCCCUUUCAGUGUCCCAUAAAUGUCUCCAAGUCAGAAUCACCGCUUCUUCUUUUCCUGCUUCAGCAGCUGAGAUGCUUAGAGAGGUUGUCCUGCACCCUCCAUCCCAGCCACUGCCCAUGGGACAGAUAGAUGCCCAGAAGUUUCCUCUCUGUCAGGAUUUGUCACUGCCACUUGCCAAGAGCAAAAUGCGGGUGCUAGGUUUAGGAAUCCAGAUAUUGGCAAUAACGUGGCUGUCUUCCUUGUAAACUUCUGAGUGGCUAUUUCUAUAAAUAUAUCUCAUUUUUUUAGGACUUUACUUGGGAAAAGUAUUGACUGAAAAGUGUCAAGAAACACAAAGAUUUUGACUGUACUCAAAGCAGUAAAGGUUCAUAGUUGGGAAUAACUUUAACCAGUAUGGAAAAAAGCCUCUUAGUGUAUUUUUCUCAGGUGUCUGACAAUUGUUUAGAUAUCAAUCUUUGACACUUGUAUUUAUCAAAAUACAGAGUGUCCUCCUAUAACCAAAGAGGGAUUCUGUGUUUCCUGUCUCACUCCUCUUUCAGUGAGGAAAAAGUGCUAUUCUGCAACUCUCAUAUAAAUGGAUUAAUUUAAACUCAAAAUGUUAUAUAGCUUCUUUCCCUUUAGGUGUUAAUAGUUUUAUGUUAAAAAAAAAAAAGGCUUUAAAAAUAUCUUCUUGUCCUUUUGACCUCUAAUAAAAAUGUCAUGAUUUUUCUCAGCAUUUUAGUUAAAAAUAUGAAGUCAAAUGGAUUUAUUGUGUGAAUUGAUUAAGAAAAAACAAGAAACCUAGAUAACGUAUUCCUGGAAAACUUAAUUUCCUAAAAGUACAAUAUUUUUCUCUACCUCAUAAAUAUUAUACAGGAUCAGCCCUUGAAAGUAAAUAAAAUGUAAUUACUAUUGAUGCUUUAUAUGAUGUUCAGCAUCUUUAAAUGAUAAUCCAGGAUUAAAUCUUUGUAUAAACUAAAGUAGUCUGAGUAAUUUCGCCUUAAUUAGUCUGCCUUUUGUUUGUGUAACAACCUAUGCUGAUUUUUUUAAUGCAAGUUAAAUACACGGAGCAAAACAAGCUGCAAGCACACAAGUUUAAGGACGAUUAACACAGCCCUUACAGUGCUUCUCAAUUAUUUUCUAUAUGGAAAGGUCAGUAGAGAAGACUGGAGAGGUCAGUUUGGAAGGGUACGUUACUGUAGCUUGUGUGGAAAACCACAAACCAUGUUGCAGUCUUUAUCAUGGUAAAUUCUUGGUACCACUUUUGGUAAAAUAAAAGGAUACCUGAAGCUUCUCUACUUGCAGUGUAAUCAGUUUUGAGGCAGUAUUUUCAGUUUAGGGCAAGAAAUCACUCAACCAUGUCCCCCUCCAACCUCCACCCACCUUUUUUUUUUUUUUUUUUUUUUUUUUUUUCUUUUUUGGUCACUGUUAAAACUGUAACUAGGUUUUCUGGGAAAGUACAUCAUCCAGUGCUUCCCCAUGUCUUUCCUUGAAGUAUUUCUUUUGUCUGUCUCCGUUACACCCGUGUGCAGUGACACAAUGUUUCUGCACAGUGGGAGCUUGAAAUCUCUGAAGAGGCUUUCCAGCACUGCUUUUUAGACUGAAAUCAUUACAAUCUUCAAUAGGUACUUGGAUUUGAAAAACUAGCACAUUAUUAUUCUCUGGACUGUCUGGAUGUAAAAAGAGGCUAUUUUCUUGCUUCCUUUUAUUUAUUUAUGUCCCUGGGUACACAUUGCCCUUACACCUAACUUUAGUUUGUUUGGAUCUCAAUCGGAGCUGCAAUUCAGAUUCUUGUGCUGUUUGUGUUUUUCUUUCAUGUAAGGUUUUACAUUAUAAAUGAGAACUCUGUCAGAGAGAUUUAUAUUUUGGUUCUACUUAAUGCUUUUGAGUUGCACAUCCUCUUUUGUAUGUGUAAUUAUCAUAGUUAUUAUUAUCACUAACACGGUGCAGCAUAUUGUACGGUAUGUUACAAUAAAUGUUAUGAUGUGUAGCGUAA